GCAGAAUGCAGACGAGGGCAUACGGUGGAUUCCUUGGUGGCCAGAGCCGAUGAAGGACGUGGCAGACUGCGAAAAGCCUCGGGGAGCCGUCUGCAGGCUGUGAUCCGGGGAUUUCCGAAUGGGGAAACCUGGCGCGGGUAAUGCCGCGUCAUCCCGGGCAAACCGGGAGGGGAACCGGGCGAACUGAAACAUCUCAGUAACCCGAGGAAAAGAAAGCAAACGCGAUUCCCUGAGUAGUGGCGAGCGAAACGGGAACAGCCUAAACCAAGCUAUAUCAAAUGGAGGAAUAAUUUGCAGUUUGGAAAACCUUCCAACCUGCAAACCAAAGUUCCUAAAUUUGAAAUAGCUUGGGGUUGUGGGGCGGCGCAAGGAAGAGGGAAGCAAAGAUUUCAUUGUUUCCCUCCCUCUUCAUCUUAUAAAGGAGUUACAAAUCCGGCUCUUAGCAGAAGAGACUUGGAACGGUCCGCCAUAGAGGGUGAUAGCCCCGUACGCGAAAAGAGUCGGACUCCUGCGCGCCGCCCCAAGUAACGCGGGACACGAGGAACCCUGCGUGAAUCUGGGAGGACCACCUCCUAAGGCUAAAUACUCCUGGCGACCGAUAGUGAACCAGUACCGUGAGGGAAAGGUGAAAAGAACCCCGGAAGGGGAGUGAAAUAGAACCUGAAACCGUAUGCCCACAGCCGGUGGGAGCGGAAAAGUUGUCUGGGCAUACCCAAUGUUCGAUAACUUUUCCGUGACCGCGUGCAUUUUGGAUAAUGAGCCGGCGAGUUGCUGUCGGUGGCGAGGUUAAUCCCGUUAAUCACGGGAGGAGCCGUAGCGAAAGCGAGUCUGAAUAGGGCGUAUAGUCGCCGGCAGCAGACCCGAGGCCGGGCGAUCUACCCAUGGACAGGGCGAGGCCCCCCUUUUGGGGGCUCAGGCCCGAACCCGUUGGUGCUGCAAUACCAUGGGAUGAGCUGUGGGUAGGGGUGAAAUGCCAAUCGAGCCCGGAUCUAGCUGGUUCUCCGCGAAAUGCAUUUAGGUGCAGCCUCGGAUGGUCGACUACGCAGGUAGAGCACUGGAGGGGGUAAGUUCGACGCCUCGAACCCAACCCAACCAAACUCCGAAUGGCGUAGCCAAAAGUCCGGGAGUGGGGUUGCGGGAUUUGCGACUCCGCAACCGAGAGGGGAACAACCCAGAUCGCCAGCUAAGGUCCCAAAGUGCGAGCUAAGUGUUUGCAAAGGUGUGGGAAGGCAUUGACGACCGGGAUGUAGGCUUAGAAGCAGCCAUCAUCUAAGGAGUGCGUAAUAGCUCACCGGUGGAGCCAACCUGCGCCGAAAAUUAACGGGGCUAAGCUCGCCACCGAAGCUGUGGGGUUAGCUUCAGCUGAAUAAAUCUUGUAUUGCAAAAGCUGAUAGCUAACCGGUAGCGGAGCGUUCCCUGUGGGUUGAAGUUCGAGCGUAAGCUCGGGUGGACUGCAGGGAAGUGAGAAUGCCGGCACGAGUAGCGCUAAGAAGGGUGAGAAUCCCUUCCGCCGAAAGCCUAAGGUUUCCGAAGCAACGUUCGUCAGCUUCGGGUUAGCCGACCCUAAACCGAGGCCGAAAGGCGUAGGCGAUGGAUGGUCCGGUUAAUAUUCCGGCGCCACCGGGAAAACCUUGAGUGAAUAUUGUUCUCAACUUGUUUUGUUGUCGGAGGGACGCGGGUAGGCCAACUCGGGGCACGCUUGGAAGUGCACCCGGGAAGGCCGAACCGCCAAGAAAAGCUCCGACAGCCUUACCCGGUGACCGUACCGCAAACCGACACUGGUAGGUGAGGAGAGAAUCCUCAGGCGUUCGGGAGAACUCUCGUCAAGGAAUUCGGCAAACUGGCCCCGUAACUUCGGGAGAAGGGGUGCCCGGUUUGCCCUCACCCUUUCCUACGAUGGCGUUCUUUAAGGGAAUGACCGUUGGAUGAUUGGGUGAGGGCAUUCACGGGCCGCAGUGGCCAGGUCUGGGCGACUGUUUACUAAAAACACAGGUGCCUGCCAAGGAGUAAUCCGAUGUAUAGGUGCCGAUGCCUGCCCAGUACCGGAGUACUAAGGAAUCCUGUCCCGAAAGGGGCGGGAGACCGAACAACCGGCAAACGGCGGUCCGCGCCACAUUAAAUGGUGCGGACCCGAAGGUAGCGAAACUCCUCAGCGGAUAAUUUCCGCCAUGCCGAACGGCGCAACGACCCAGACGCUGUCUCGACGAGGGACCCGGUGAAACUGAAGUGUCUGUUAGUAUGCAGGCAACCCGCGGCGGGACGGGGAGUCCCCGGGAGCUUUACUGCAGCCUACUAUUGGGUGUGCGCAUCUAUGAAAAGUAGGAGGAAAAGUUGAUGUGGCCAAUUCAUUAAAAUUGGUCAUAUUAACUUUUCCCUAAGGUUUGAUACUGCCUUCAAGGUGCGCACACCCUAACCUCGCACCGGGCCUGAAGCCCGAGGGACAGUGGUAGGUGGGCAGUUUCGCUUGGUCGGCACCCUCCUAAAAGGUAACGGAGGGAUCCAAAGGUCUCCUCAGCACGCUUGGAAACCGUGCGUUGAGCGCAAGGGUAUAGAGGGGGCCUGACUGUGCGAGCCGCAACUCAAGCAGGGACGAAAGUCGGGCCUAGUGACGUGGUACUACCGUGUGGAAGGGGUACCGCGGCAACGGAUAAUGAGUUCCCCGGGAAAACAGGGCCGAUCUCCCCCGAUAGGCCACAUUGACGGGGAGGCUUGGUGCCUCGUUUCCGGCUCAUCGCAUCCUGGGGCUGAAGGAGGUCCCAAGGGUUGGGUUAACAGCCCAUUAAAGCGGUUUGUGAGCUAGAAUUAGAUCAUCGCAAGAUAGUUCAAGUCCUAUCCGCCGUGGGCGCUGGAGACUUGAGGGGAGCUGCCCCUAGUACGAAAGGAACGGGGCGGGCCAACCUCUGGCGUACCGGUUGUCUCGCCAGGGGCAUCGCCGGGUAGCUAAAGUUGGCUCGCGAUAAGCGCUGAAAGCAUCUAAGCGCGAAGCGCACCCCAAGACGAGGUCUCCUCAAUAGGCCCCGGGUAGACUACCCGGUGAUAGGCCGGAGGUGUAAGGACGGCAACGUCCUCAGCUUACCGGUACUAAUAGGCCGAAUGCAUUCGCAG
rnacentral:rRNA from 1 species